GGAAGGGGGUCACAAGCCAAGGAAUACAGGUGGCUUCUAGAAGUGAAAAAAACAAAGACACGGGUUCUCCCCUGGAGCCUCCAGAAGGAAUGCAGCCUGCUGAUACAUAAGAUUUAAGACUUCUAACUUCCAGAAUUAUAAGAACAAAGCAUCACCUGAGCCUCCUCAUCAAUGCUUCCCUCUCAGGAAACACAGCUGAGUCUCACAUGUCUUCUGAAUCCUUGAAGGAAACAAUGAACCACAGAUGGCCAAGUUGCAUUGUCCUACAAGAUGUGAAAGAUGUCGGUAACAAAGCAACCCAAGAUCUGUCUCCUACACAUCUCCAGAGGGAACGGUGGCAACUGCAAGGCCAAGAAGUUUGAGAGCUGCCCUCCGUUUCAUUCCAUCUCUCUACCCUUUUGCCAGAGUUCAGCUGUAAAUGGCAGCUCCUGCCCAUCCACAGGUCAUUCAUCAGCUGAUAUGUCUGCAUGUGGUUUUGUUUCACGUCCUUCUUCUUUCAAAGCCUUGAAUAUGCUUCACAUCUAAUGCAGCUCUUUCUAUCUCAGAUGGAUGAGGAUAUCACCAUCACUAUCACCACCUUCACAGAAAAGAUAGCUUUGGAUCUAGGCCAGCUCUGACAUAAAAAUCCACUUAGAACUUACUGAAG